UUUCUGUUCGUCAAAACCCAAGGCAAGCUCUUCCAUUUCUCUACGUCAAGACCCAAGGCAAGGCCACCACAGAUCUGAGACCUCUAAGAUCUCCACCUACAAUUUCCAAUCUUUAACAGUAGUUUUGAGUCUGGAAAUGGAAGGCAAGGAGUAAAAGGGCGCAGAAAUGAGAAGAAAUGGAGAAAUGAAGUUUUCCUUGUUCUACUAGAAAAAGGAAUCCCAGUCAAAGUAGGAAUCCUAACUCAACUAGGACUGAGCUCGGAAAAAUGAUGUUCAGAAAUGAAGAAAUGACAGAGUCCCAGUUGGACUAGGAAACCUGAUGACACUAGGAAUCUUGAUGCUACUAGGAGACCUGGUGAGACUAGGAGAUGCUGUGUCUUGAAGAUGACUCAAGAUUGUUCAAAAAUGUUCUAGAAGAAGCAAAAUGGCGUUACAUUUGAAGAUGGGUUUCGAAUUGGAUCAUUUGAAGAAGCCUGGCCUGAAGAUUGAAGCAUGUGAUUGGCAUAUCAGUCUCUAGAAUUAUCCAUGACGUCUUGAGGAGUCCAUGGCCCAUUUAUAAUUGCUUUUUGCAGUGAUAAUUAAAAGAGAUAUUCAAGGAAUUUCGGCAAUGCACAAUUUGGGAUAGUUUUGGAUUUCUAUGGAAUUUUGGAGAAGAAAAUAAAGGAAUAAAUAUUGAAUUUGGAUUUCUGAUUCCAUUCUACAUACUUGGAGGCUGAAAUAUGGUCUGGGUACAUGGAAGAUUUCGGCAAAUAAAGAGGUGACUUGUUCUCCAAUUCUCAUGAAAUAUUUUCAUUGGCCGGAUGAUGUCACAAGUAGAUUUCAACCUUGAUAUCCUAGCCCUUGUCAUUAACUAUAUAUAGGAGGUUUCUGAAGCCAUUCUACACACCACAAAAUUUAGAAUCAAAAGCCACAAACACUUCCCCUUCUCUUCCAUGUUUCGGCAACAAAAGUUCAAGGUCAUGAGCAAUCCUCCUCUCCAUUCAAGCAUCCUUGCCGUGAUCCUCAUCUAUUCCACCACCUUUUGAAGUUUCUUACGUCCUUGAAGAUCAAAAAGUGAAAUCAGCGGAGUUGCGGAAAUCGAAGAAAAAUGGACACAGAAAUGAUGCAAAAUGGUGAAAGUCGGAAUUCUCGACAGAAGGACAAAAUUAUUUUACCUUUAUUAACCAAUUAACCAUUAGUUAAUUAACCUAUUGUUAAUUGGUUAAUUAACUUGUUAAUUAAGCAGGCAUGCACGUUUUGGUCUAAUUAAUUGGUCUGACCAAUUGUGAGUUGACAAGUGGCAUGGACCUCGUUUGUCUUCAUUCAAAUUAUGCAGCAGCUAAUCCCGUGGGAUGGAGCAACCAUGGAUCAUUUCAUUUUUUUCCUUCCCUUGUCUUAAUUCCAAAACGCACCGGAUCGUCCAAAACCCGUAUCCUUUUCUCCUCUCUCACAAACAAUAGCCACGAAGUGACCCUUAUAUAUUCAAUCUCUGGGAACAUAUAGAACAGCGCCGCACACACAAACAGUAGCCGCAGGGGGCAGUCCUUUGGGCUGCUCUGUCUCCCUCCUUCUCCAUUUUUCAUAAUAGUUUUAGUUUUCUUUUGGGUAUUCAUAGAAUUUCUCACACAAGCUUCAAGCAUUCAUCAAGAGCUACAAGAUUCAAGCUAAUUGUGGGAGUUGUAAUUCAAGGGAAGUCAUAUUAGUUUCCUAGCUAAUUGUGGCUACCUUUGUUUUCUCCUACACUUCUAUAAUCUUUUCUCUUUGAAUUUUGUAUCUUUGUUGUUCAUAAUUAUGGAUUGUGAGUAAUUUCUUUGUUGGGGGUUAGGGUUGUGUGCCCUAACCCAAAUUUGAUGUAAUGGAUGCUUAAUUUGAUUUGU